AUCAUAUCUCUUAUGACUUGAAACUUUAUCAUACAAAUGUUUAAAAGCAUUUUAUGUUGGCAUUAUAUUGAAUAUCAAAGAGUGACAUCUUCUCAUCAUUUGAAAUGUACAGCAGAUAACAUGAAUGGUGAAUGCGUGUUUCAGAUAUUUUCUGAUAAAAGAUCAAAUUCUCUGAUUGCCAAAAAAUGGAAGAAGGUGACUCUGUUAGCCUGCAGGGAUAAAAAAGAGGACUACUAAUGUCAGUGCAUAGAUGAGAGAAAAAGUGAUCUGGGCGAGUUUUAGUGCAUUCUUUUUUUUUUUUAUAUACAAUCGGCAAUUAACAGUUUCCGAUGACAUUAGCACUGGAAACGUGACCCUUUCUUGUAAUUUUGUAUGUGUUUUCUAAAACAAUGAUUUCUGUAGCUGGGGACAGUCUGUCAAAGGUUUGUUUUUUUCCUUCAAUUCGUAUUUACGUGCAAUUUUAACCAAUGUCCAUAAUAAACACGUAACGAUGGAAAUUGCUGAGAACGAAAGCAGGUAAUGUUUAUGUGCAGGGGCUCGAGAAAAUUAUUUAAGCCAGUGAAUACCUGCCAUCAUAAAUCUCUGUACGGACGACAGAGUAAUGUACCAAGUUACUACCAAGGCACGUGGAGAACGUACGAUUUUGUGACAGUUCUGGAUGGCGGUAGAUUAAUUUUACGAGGAAAACCCUCAGCUGACAACAAAAAUACUGAUUUACUAACUGUGAGGGUUAAGGACUGAGAUUGUCAAAACACAACAACAAAAAUAACUCGCUGAUGAAUGUUGUUUAUUUCUGUUUUCAUACAUUUUCAUUUUAUUUUUCAUUAUCAGUAUAAACUUUUUCUAAUU
rnacentral:sRNA from 1 species